CCUACGGGGGGCUGCAGUGGGGAAUAUUGGACAAUGGGCGAAAGCCUGAUCCAGCCAUGCCGCGUGUGUGAAGAAGGCCUUCGGGUUGUAAAGCACUUUCAGUGGGGAAGAAAGCCUUGGGGCUAAUACCCUCGAGGAAGGACAUCACCCACAGAAGAAGCACCGGCUAACUCCGUGCCAGCAGCCGCGGUAAUACGGAGGGUGCGAGCGUUAAUCGGAAUUACUGGGCGUAAAGCGCGCGUAGGCGGUCUGAUAAGCCGGUUGUGAAAGCCCCGGGCUCAACCUGGGAACGGCAUCCGGAACUGGCAGGCUAGAGUGCAGGAGAGGAAGGUAGAAUUCCCGGUGUAGCAGUGAAAUGCGUAGAGAUCGGGAGGAAUACCAGUGGCGAAGGCGGCCUUCUGGACUGACACUGACGCUGAGGUGCGAAAGCGUGGGUAGCAAACAGGAUUAGAUACCCGGGUAGUC
rnacentral:rRNA from 1 species